GAUGAACGCUGGCGGCGUGCCUAAUACAUGCAAGUCGAGCGAACGGACGAGAAGCUUGCUUCUCUGAUGUUAGCGGCGGACGGGUGAGUAACACGUGGAUAACCUACCUAUAAGACUGGGAUAACUUCGGGAAACCGGAGCUAAUACCUGAUGAUAUUUUGAACCGCAUGGUUCAAACGUGGAAGACGGUCUUUCUGUCACUUAUAGAUGGAUCCGCGCUGCAUUAGCUAGUUGGUAAGGUAACGGCUUACCAAGGCAACGAUGCAUAGCCGACCUGAGAGGGUGAUCGGCCACACUGGAACUGAGACACGGUCCAGACUCCUACGGGAGGCAGCAGUAGGGAAUCUUCCGCAAUAGGCGAAAGCCUGACGGAGCAACGCCGCGGGAGUGAUGAGGGUCUUCGGAUCGUAAAACUCUGUUAUUAGGGAAGAACAUAUGUGUAAGUAACUGUGCACAUCUUGACGGUACCUAAUCAGAAAGCCACGGCUAACUACGUG
rnacentral:rRNA from 1 species